ensembl:lncRNA novel transcript
GGCUGCAGCCAUUUCCCUCUCUGCAGAUACUUCCAAAAGUUACACUAGAUGUUAACUGAGCACUAAGGACACUACGUGAAAGACUGGAGUACAAACAUCCAAAGGACUGAAGAAUUUGAAGAGCACUGAAUGUGGGAGAUAGGACAGAGGAAAGGAGUCAAAUGUCUCCAAGAAACGAAGCCUGUGUGCCCUGGAGAAUGAAGAAGCAUCAUCAAAUCGGGGAGACUGAAGGAGGAAUCGGUUUUCAGAGAAAAACAAUUUAUAUUGUCUUAGCUGUGUUAGGUGGCAUACUAUUACAUUCAAGUGAAGCUGUGUAAUAGACAGAGAUGACAAAUUUUAUUCAUUUAUGAAUGCCCCCCAAAAUAUAUAUAUAGUUUUUGC